UACGUAGGGGGCAAGCGUUGUCCGGAGUUACUGGGCGUAAAGGGCUCGUAGGCGGCCAACUAAGUCAGACGUGAAAUCCCUCGGCUUAACCGGGGAACUGCGUCUGAUACUGGAUGGCUUGAGGUUGGGAGAGGGAUGCGGAAUUCCAGGUGUAGCGGUGAAAUGCGUAGAUAUCUGGAGGAACACCGGUGGCGAAGGCGGCAUCCUGGACCAAUUCUGACGCUGAGGAGCGAAAGCCAGGGGAGCAAAGCGGG
rnacentral:rRNA from 1 species